rnacentral:rRNA from 1 species
UACGUAGGGGGCUAGCGUUGUCCGGAAUCAUUGGGCGUAAAGAGCGCGUAGGCGGCUAGAUAAGUCCGGUGUGAAAGUCACAGGCUCAACCUGUGAAUGCCGCUGGAAACUGUCUGGCUAGAGUCCGGAAGGGGCGAGUGGAAUUCCUGGUGUAGCGGUGAAAUGCGUAGAGAUCCGGAGGAACCCCAGAGGCGAAGGCGGCGUUCUGGCUCGCAACUGACGCUCAGACACGACAGCAUGGGGAGCGAACGGG